UACGUAGGGGGCAAGCGUUGUCCGGAAUCAUUGGGCGUAAAGAGCGUGUAGGCGGCUCGAUAAGUCUGCUGUGAAAGUCCAGGGCUCAACCCUGGAAGGCCGGUGGAAACUGUCGGGCUAGAGUCCGGAAGAGGCGAGUGGGAAUUCCCGGUGUAGCGGUGAAAUGCGCAGAUAUCGGGAGGAACACCAAUGGCGAAGGCAGCUCGCUGGGACGGUACUGACGCUGAGACGCGAAAAGCGUGGGGAGCAAACAGG
rnacentral:rRNA from 1 species